UACGUAGGGACCAAGCGUUGUUCGGAUUUACUGGGCGUAAAGGGCGCGUAGGCGGCUUGACAAGUCACUUGUGAAAUCUCCGGGCUUAACUCGGAACGGCCAAGGGAAACUGUCAUGCUAGAGUGCAGAAGGGGCAAUCGGAAUUCUUGGUGUAGCGGUGAAAUGCGUAGAGAUCGGGAAGAACACCAGUGGCGAAGGCGGUCUGCUGGGCCGUUGCUGACGCUGAGGCGCGACAGCGUGGGGAGCAAACAGG
rnacentral:rRNA from 1 species